UACUUAGUGGCAGACGGGUGAGUAACAUGUAGGUAUCUGCCCUUUGGCCUGGAAUAACACGAGGAAACUUGUGCUAAUACCGGAUAAGUCUUUACGGAGAAAGCUUUAUGCACCAUUGGAUGAGCCUGCACUUGAUUAGUUUGUUGGUGGGGUAAUGGCCUACCAAGACUUUGAUCAAUAGCUGAUUUGAGAGGAUGAUCAGCCACACUGGGACUGAGACACGGCCCAAACUCCUACGGGAGGCAGCAGUGGGGAAUCUUGCACAAUGGAGGAAACUCUGAUGCAGCGAUGCCGCGUGAGUGAAGAAGGCCCUUGGGUUGUAAAGCUCUUUCGUCGGGGAAGAAAAUGACUGUACCCGAAUAAGAAGGUCCGGCUAACUUCGUGCCAGCAGCCGCGGUAAUACGAAGGGACCUAGCGUAGUUCGGAAUUACUGGGCUUAAAGAGUUCGUAGGUGGUUGAAAAAGUUGGUGGUGAAAUCCCACAGCUUAACUCUGGAACUGCCAUCAAAACUUUUCAGCUAGAGUAUGAUAGAGGAAAGCAGAAUUUCUAGUGUAGAGGUGAAAUUCGUAGAUAUUAGAAAGAAUACCAAUUGCGAAGGCAGCUUUCUGGAUCAUUACUGACACUGAGGAACGAAAGCAUGGGUAGCGAAGAGGAUUAGAUACCCUCGUAGUCCAUGCCGUAAACGAUGUGUGUUA
rnacentral:rRNA from 1 species